rnacentral:lncRNA from 1 species
AAAAAUUGAAAAGUCAAAAUUGGUGGGUAUUAGGUGACUUAUUUGGUAUUAAAAUAAAACAAAAAAAGAAAAAGUUGUCAUCUUUUCAUCUUUCUUCUUCAUCCACCGAAAAUGGCAGCAAGGAGGGGGUUUUUGAAAGCUCAAAAAUAUCAGCCACUUAUAUUCCUUGCAAGUAAGUGAUUUAGAUAGCCUUUCUUGAUAAUUUUUGCAUUUUUAGGACCCUUGUAACAUGAGCUAACUAAUGAGGGGGCUAUUUUGCAAAAUGGUUGAAUGUCUAGGGUUUUUCCAUGUGAAUACUCAUAUAAUUUUUUGAAUUUUUAUGAAAGAAAAUGAGUCAUAGUUGUGUAAUAAACAACUGUUGUGAAAGAAGUUUGCAUGAAAACACCUAAAAAGGGCUAUUUUGUAAAGUUGUAAAAUAAGUUGUAAAUGUGUGAAAUAAUUGAAAUUGUGAGUUGCUAUAGUUAUAAAAAGAAUUUGGAUAGGCUUGAUAAAGGAGGAAAUUUGAUAAAAAUCAAUUUACGAGCCUAAGAGAAAAAUCGUAAUUUUUAUAAAGUUUAAGGGCAAAACAGUCAUUUUCCAAAUUGUGAAUUAUAGAAUUUUUUAAUUAAUGUAAUGAUUAAAUGAGUGAAUUUCAUCAUGUUAAAUCAAGAAAAUCGAGAUUUGGGCUUAAAUCGAAAAGUACGAGGUUAUGGACUAAAAUUGAGUAAUUAGCCGAAAUUGCAUUUGAGGUAAGUCUGUGUGACUAAAUAAACAUUGUGACAACCUUAAUUAGACCCUAGUCGGAAUGUGGUUUCGGGACCACAUUACCGAGUCAAAAAUUUAUUUUUGUGUUUUAAUUACAUAAAUUUAUGUGUGAUAGUGAAUAUAUGAAAAAUUAAAUGCUUAAUAUUGGCUUUAGGAAUGUGAAUUAAUUCGAAAGGACCUAGUUGAUGAAGUUAGAAAAGAUGAUAGAUGAAUUAUAAGGAGUAAAUAAUAAUAGAGAGAGGAAGCAUGGGUUUGCAUGUCAAAAUGCCCAUUUUUGACUUAAUGGCCGGCCAAGUAGUGAUGCAUUCCACUAAUUUAAAUUAGAUUAGUAUAUUUAAUUGGUAAGAAAAUAAAAUAUUCAUAACAUAAAGAUUAAUAAAAAUAAUAAAAUGAACAAGAGAAAAAAAAGAAAAAAAGAAAGGAGUGUUCAUCUUUGCUAUCCUUUAGCCGAAAAACCAAGUAAAAGAAAGAAAGAAAGGUUUGAAGAAGUUCGGCCAUGCUUGUAACUAGGUUGAGGUAUGUUUGAUGUUAUUCCUUGAAAUUCAUGCAUAUUUUUAGUUGUUAGUUUGAAUUCUACCUAGCCCAUGGUUUAAAUUUUUGCUAUUUGAUGGAGAUGAUAUUCGGCCAUGGAUGUUGUCUUUCUUGGUUGGUGUUUUGAUGUUGUUGUGAUGAGGCAUGAAGAUGAUUGAGUUUGAGUGUUUAAUAAAAAGGAUUGGAUGUGAGUGUGUGUGAGAAUUAGAAAAUGAUGGGUCUUAGCAACUUCAUGAAGUGUUCGGCCAUGGUGCUAAAAUGUUGUACUUGUGUUUAAACUUAGAAUUAUUUAGUUAUAUGGUUAGUAUAGGUAUGGAUGACCGAAUAUGAGAGCAUGAAUAGAUGAAGAGUUUUGUAAUUAUAAAAAAAAAAUGGUUAAUUGAUAUGUGGUAAAUGUUAAGUGUUAAAUGAAAUGGAAAUGAUAUUAUAUUGGAAUAUGUAUAUUCGACCACAUGAAUGAAUACAUAGAUUGAUGUUGCAUAUAUUCGGCCUUUAAUUAAGUAUAUAGGUGAUAGUGAUAGAUUGAUGUUGCACAUUCGACUAUAGGUAAGCAUAUUGAUGAUUUUAUCUUGACUUAGAUAAUCGGCUAAAGGAGAAUAUUGGCUAAUAUGUUGAAUUUGAUUCAUGAUUUCAUAUAUAUGACUGGAUGUAAAUAUAUUGAGAAGAUGAUAUGAAGGGAAGUGAUGUUGCAUUCGGCAUUGGAGAAAUUGAAAUAUUAAUUAGACUAUUGAUAGUAAGGUGAUAUUAAUUGGCUAUAAGCCGAAUAGCUUAAGAGCAUAAGGUAGAAAGAUAAAAAUUUUACCAUGUUGUUCCGUAUGUUAUAAAAUCAUUAAAAUGUGGAUGCAAAUAUAUGUAGCAAAGUGGUUAAAUGAGUUAAUUUAUUUGUUUAAGCUCAAGAUCCUAAAGGAGAGGAGUCCAACAAGGGAAAAUCGAAGGUCAUCGAGUAGCCGACUUGGAACUAUAUUACCCAACACAAGGUAAGUUCAUAAGCAAUCAUAAGGUUAAUUUAAAUUAUACAUAAAUGACUUUAACAUGUCAUGAAAGAAUCUCUUUAUUAAGUAUUUCCUUGGAGAAACUAUAUGUGUUUAUUGUUGUGGCCGUAUAUGCCAAAUGAAUUAAUUAAAUUGUUUUAUCAUAGAAAGUGUACAUUGGCACUAUGUGUGCGGUGUAGUAUGGCACUAUGUGUGCGGAGUUGAAUAGCACUAUGUGUGCUGAUUUGAAUGUCAACAUAUGAGAUAAACUUUCAAGGCACUAUGUGUGUGGGAUAGUACGGCACUAAGUGUGCAAAUUUGUUUAGCACUAAGUGUGCAAAAGCGGUUGAUGAUACGAAGAGCAUAAGUAAAGAAUUAAGGCGCUAAAAUGAUUAACUGAAAAGUAUGUGUGUAUAUACAUCUAGUUCAUAAUUAUUUCUUACCUUGAGAAUAGUUUUAAAACGGUUGGUUGUUUAAUAAUUGAUUCGAUAUCGAAAACUUGGGUUCGAGGUUGGAUAAAUAAACUAGGUAGUUGUAGCCUAGUUUGGUGUGAUUGAAUUAGCUGAACUUGCAAGGCUUUUAUUUCAAUUUCUUAUAAACAACCUAUAUUAUUUUGCUUAUGGAAUACUGAGUUGAAUACUCAUUUGGUGUGUUUGUUUGUUUCUUAUUUAGAUAUCUCUGACCAUUUUGCGUACUUGGGACCAUCGUCGAAGUCAUCACACCGGCUUGCAACUUUUUGGUACCCUCUUCUUAGUUGGCCUAAGAGAACAUUUCGGCAUGUAUAGGCUAUUAUGUUUUGUUUGAACCCCAAUAUGUAAACUUUUAGCCAUGCGAAUAUGGCUUAAAUGCUAAGUUUGAAUUUAGCCUUAUGGGUGCUUAGUUAUAAGGUUCAGUAGAUUUGGCCUUGAUAAUUCGGUUUUGAUGGAGUAGUAGUCUAAGUCUAUUUGAUUAUUAUGCCGUAUGCCAUGGCUGAUCAUAUUUGGUGUUAUGUAUGUCAAAUUACUAGCUAAUCCAUGGAAAUCAUAAAAUAGAUUUAGACAGCAGUAGUGGUGUGAAUUUGAAAAAUCAGUAAAAAUAGUAGAAAUGGAAUUAAAUAAUGAAUAAAUUAUGGAAUCGAAUCUUGAUGAGUCUAUUUUCAUAUGGAAGAAGUAAAACAGAUAUAUGAGCUAUAUUGUAUGAGAU